AGCUCGACCUGGCUCAGUCUCACUCCGUCCAGUCUCCGUCCACAUUGCUCACGCCACCGCCCACCGGAAUUCUGUUCCACCACCGCCGCCGUCCUGAAGCCGCGCGUGGCUUCUCUUCCACCAGAACCGACCUCUGGCCUCCGCGCCGUAGGUGACCAGCUCGACGACUCCGUUUCUUGGCGCGGCGCAGGAGAUCGGCCGCGAGCAUCGCCGGCGACCUGUGACCUGGGAUGGAGGGCGCGAGCGCAUCUGCGGCGCCGUUCGGGGGCGGAAGACGUGCGGCGGAGCAUGGGGAGGCGCGCGCGCGCGCGCCGGAGCAGGCCACUCGGAUUUCUUGCAUGGGUAUACGAUAUCAUGGGUGAUUUACCUUCUGGUUCUGAAGGAGUACCAAUGGAGGAUGAUGCUUUAUUCCAGUUGCAAGGAUGGCACAGUUCUGUUAGGACUUUCUCCAGCAGGCAGACUCCAUGUUCUAGUGAGGAACUCUAUCAAUCAUUAGGAUAGGAUGACAGAGUUGCAAGGAUGACACAGUUGUAUUUGUGUAACUCAUAAACCACAUCCUCUACAGAUUGAAGUGGAUAUCCCAGGUUGUAUCAGUCAGGAAUAAAGAGAGGCAAAGGAGAUUGUGUGCAUCAAAGGGAAAUCUAACACUCGGGGGCAUACAGUGCCCUACCUUUGUGCCUGCGCUGAGGCUCAUCUCUGCUAUGAAAGGAGGCCGCGAGAAAGACGGUAGCAUCGCCAACUGAAAACUGCCGUGUUAAGUGGGCCCCAGACUUAUAUGAUUUGGUAACAGUCUCUUAUGGAUCAUUCAGUGACGAGCCCCCAGCAGCAUCCGAGGUUUAGCAAAGACAAGGGAAGCGGAGGCAGUGGCCAAAAAAGCAUGGAAGCAGUUUCCUGCACGAGAGUGUAAUGGUGGUCUAGGGGAGGGUGUCAUAUUUUUUGUGAAUAUAGAUAAGACGGCUGUAGUAGUUUUUUUUUUUUACCUUAAGCUGUAGUAGAAUAUAACCCGCAGGCCUGUAGUAGGGUUCUGUAUGUAGCCUGCCUGUAUGUCAUGUUUGUUUGUAGGAACGACCGAACUGACGGUGUCUCCUAUCCUGCAACAUCAUGUUCGGACGAUUUGCCGUAUCUCUGUUAAGAACCAAUUGUAUACCAGCUGAAAAUUUAUUCUGCCU